UAACACGUGGGUAACCUGCCCAUCAGAAGGGGAUAACACUUGGAAACAGGUGCUAAUACCGUAUAACAAUCGAAACCGCAUGGUUUCGGUUUGAAAGGCGCUUCUGCGUCACUGAUGGAUGGACCCGCGGUGCAUUAGCUAGUUGGUGAGGUAACGGCUCACCAAGGCAACGAUGCAUAGCCGACCUGAGAGGGUGAUCGGCCACAUUGGGACUGAGACACGGCCCAA
rnacentral:rRNA from 1 species